CUAGCGACUUCAGAGUUUGAUCCUGGCUCAGGACGAACGCUGGCGGCGUGCUUAACACAUGCAAGUCGAGCGGGGAUAUUGACUUCGGUUGAUAUUCUAGCGGCGGACGGGUGAGUAACGCGUGAACAAUCUGUCCCAGACAGGGGGAUAACAGAUGGAAACAUCUGCUAAUACCGCAUAAGACCACGACCCGGCAUCGGGUUGAGGUAAAAGGAGUAAUCCGGUUUGGGGUGAGUUCGCGUCCGAUUAGCUAGUUGGUGAGGUAACGGCCCACCAAGGCGACGAUCGGUAGCCGACCUGAGAGGGUGAUCGGCCACAUUGGAACUGAGACACGGUCCAA
rnacentral:rRNA from 1 species